rnacentral:rRNA from 1 species
UACAGAGGUCUCAAGCGUUGUUCGGAUUCAUUGGGCGUAAAGGGUGCGUAGGUGGCGCGCUAAGUCAGGUGUGAAAUCUCGGAGCUUAACUCCGAAACUGCAUUUGAUACUGGCGUGCUUGAGGACUGGAGAGGAGACUGGAAUUCACGGUGUAGCAGUGAAAUGCGUAGAUAUCGUGAGGAAGACCAGUGGCGAGGGCGGGUCUCUGGACAGUUCCUGACACUGAGGCACGAAGGCCAGGGGAGCAAACGGG